rnacentral:tRNA from 1 species
GGAAUGUGGUUCAAGCGGUAGCGCACUUGCCUGGCAUGUAUGGGGCACUGGGUUCGAUCCUCAGCACCA